AACGCACGAGACCUGCGGACCUGCGGAGGGAUCAUUAAUGAGAAGCUGCCCCUCGUGGGUAGACCUCCCACCCUCUGUGAACUUACCUUUGUUGCUUUGGCAGGCCCGUCCUCUGGACCGCCGGCUUCGGCUGGCCCGUGCCUGCCAGAGGAUUCCAAACCCUGUCUGUCAGUGUUGUCUGAGUCUAUAUGAAAUCGUUAAAACUUUCAGCAACGGAUCUCUAGAUCGGAAGAGCACACG
rnacentral:misc_RNA from 1 species